UUAGCUGGAUCUUUAAUGGGUGCUCUGGAACAUAUACGGUCUAUUUGCUGAACGCCUGCGUUCUCUCCUAGAACGCAUGUGUUCUGCUGUGUUCUAUAAUGUUAUAUGCGAGAACACGUGUUCCAUUAAUAGAACAUCGGUGUUCUGUUUUUCUAACAAGCAUUCAAAGCUGUCCAUGCUCUGUGAUUCACAUCCGUUAUGUGAGAAACUGGCGUGACGUCGCAUGUAUUUGGCGCUACAAUUUCCUAUGAUCUGAGGUGUCUGUGGUUCUAUAUGAAUCGCCUGAAAGUGCGAAGCGGGCUACGUGCAACAAAUCUCUGAACAUCUAAUUUGGGAUCCGAGGGCAUGAUCAGCAAGCAUCGACAAUGCAUCGAAAUCAGCAGAGAGUAGUGGUGCAUUGCAGAUAAUCAGUACCAUCCAUGGAAAUUAUUGCACAGGGCACACGUCUACACAAAGGAGGAAAAGACACAAGGUUUUGCAGAUCAAAUAAGAAGGAUGUUGGGGAGUCAUAUUUGACAUGAAGUUUCCUGAAGCCUGCGAUGGUCAUGUCGCUGUUACGAACAUCGUCCUUUGGGGAUAUUUACCCACAAGAAACAUCUGCGAAGUACAUGCGCUUGAAACUUAAGUUAUCUUAAGUAUGGAAGUAUGCUUCAAUUUGCUACACAACAGUUUGUAAUGUUUCAUGAAGAACUCUGACUCAUAAGUGACUUGAAUAUCCAUGAUCAUCCCAAACAAAUAUAAUAAAGAAUUCAUGGUUGCAGUUCAGAAUUUCGUCCGUGUGAUUUUAUGCCAGAGAAUAUGCAUGGGUGUAUGGUUUAAAUUCUUACACCUUGAAAAACAUCGGGUAAAUUGUAUUCGACACACACGAUGAGUUGUCGUUUCAGUAAUGUGGAAGUACGUGUCCGAGAACGUGUAGUGUUCUGAAUCUCGGUCCAGAACACUUUACAGGCGUUCUAAAAGCGUUACAUCGUCAGAACACGUUGAAGCGUUCUAAAUAUGUUUGUAGAACACUCCUGUUCUGGGUCGAGAACAUCAACGUUCAGAAUAUUUUCAGAACACAUGGACGCGUUCUAAAAGUGUUACAUCCAUGUGUUCUGUCUAGUGUUCAGAAGUGGAACACUUGG